rnacentral:lncRNA from 1 species
GACGGGGUUUCACCUUGUUAGCCAGGAUGGUCUCGAUCUCCUGACCUCGUGAUCCACCCGCCUCGGCCUCCCAAAGUGCUGGGAUUACAGGCGUGAGCCACCGCGCCCAGCCUGUAAGCCUAAAUUUUUGUGGCUGUGGGAUGGACAAGGACCCAGUCUUUAGCUGAACUAAGGAAAAGUCCUGCAACAAUAAAUUUCAGAAGUUUGAUCUUAACAGAUGAGGAGACUGAAGCCCACAGAGAUCUGAUAGAAAACAGCUGGAUGUGCUAACAGAGCAUCAGACUUGGAAUCAGGUGGAUCCUAGAUUGGCUACUUCCUAACCUCAGAAAAGUGACAUAAUGUCUAUGGUGAAGUCAUCCAUCUGAAACACAAUGCAGUGAAAUCCACUUUAAAUUUUGAUUGUGGCUGAAGUCCUGGCUGGAAUGCUUCUUGUAUCAUAUCAUUGGAGAUUGGAAGAAUUGAGAUGUUUCUUGCUGUGGUUGUCCAACCCAGCUCUAGUUUGUCAGCCAGUAUUCUGCAUGCACAAAAGUAGUGUUUAAUCUAAGAAGACUCGAGGCAAGAGAUGUCAGCUUAAUUUUGUGUAAAUAGUCUGGAAACAUGAUUUUCAUCACAGCAAGCAAAACUUGUAUAGACAUGUUUGUAAGAGGAUAUUUAUACACCACCCCAGGAUGCUCUUUCUCAACUGACAUCACCUGCAUUUAGUCCAUUUCAGUUCUUCCAUGGCUUUAUGUUUUCAGUAGGUUACAUUUUAAAAUUCAUCUGUAAUUUAUUGCAAUAUAAGGUAUAAGACAAAUUGAAUUUUAUUUCCUGAUAAUAUCUUAUUAUAAUUUAUUCAAGAAUUGUUCCUAUCCUCAAUUAUUUUGUAUACAAAUUCAGUUUCUAUUAAAUUAUGCUCCUGAUUCCUUCUGUUUAAUUAAAAUACCUUCCUUUUCACAUUUGUACAAGUGUUAAAAUUAAAUAACGUCUUAUAUGUAAUAAAGUAAGUCUCUAUUCUUUCUAAAAUGUCAAGACAAUUCUCAUCAGCUUUAAAAUUGUAAGUAACCUUUAGAAUCCUAGUGACAAAUACAA